ACCAAUUCUGGGGGAUAACUGGUUCCUCUCGGUAUAAUGGCUCGGGCGCCAUAUUUAUUUAGUGUGGCUAUCCUGAUUGUUGGUUUUUCAAUGCCUUUUAAUCCUGGAAACACCACAUACAUUU